rnacentral:lncRNA from 1 species
AUGGUCCAGAUGGUCAUCCUCGUCAAGCAGCAGAAACGAGGACGUGCAGGCCUGGUGAAGUAAAAGGUGUUGAGCUUGCAAGAAAAACGAUAGAGAGAGAGAGAGAGAGAGAUGGGUUUAAUUUCAUCAAAAACGAGGAGGCAGGGAAGGAAGGAAAGGAAGGAAGAAUAAACCAUGAUGAUCAUCUAUGAGAUCUAUGCCUUUAUGUCUAUGAAGUCUAUGAUUUGAUUAAUCCUUUCUUCCUUCCCUUUCUUGUGAAAAUGCUUCUUCUCUAGCUAGGUUGAAUAGGAAUGAACCAUCCAAUCUCCCAUGACUUUUCUAUUGAGUCUUCUCUGAAUUAAAAGUUGAAUCCAUACCUUUUCCUUCCUCCUUCAAUCACUUUCUCUCUUCUCAAUAUUAAUUACUCCAUUACACCUACACCCACACCCACAUCCCAGCCAACUCCUCCCUCGUCUCAUUUAUUACAUCCCCUCCCUCCCUUAAAUAGAACCAAAACCCAUCUCUCCCCCUCACCUCAAUAAUCCUCAUCCUCCUUCCUUCCAUAUCUUUUUAGUUAUUACUAUCCUGUCCAUCAGUUGCCGUGUUUGUUAGUUUUGAUAUGUUGAUUAGUAUGCAAACAACAGUUUGUGAGAAAUUCUAUGAUCAAGAUCUUCAUGUAUGGUUUAACAAAGGGUU